rnacentral:rRNA from 1 species
AGAGUUUGAUCCUGGCUCAGGAUGAACGCUAGCGACAGGCUUAACACAUGCAAGUCGAGGGGCAGCAUAAUUUGUAGCAAUACAGAUUGAUGGCGACCGGCGCACGGGUGAGUAACGCGUAUGCAACUUACCUAUCAGAGGGGGAUAGCCCGGCGAAAGUCGGAUUAAUACCCCAUAAAACAGGGGUCCCGCAUGGGAAUAUUUGUUAAAGAUUCAUCGCUGAUAGAUAGGCAUGCGUUCCAUUAGGCAGUUGGCGGGGUAACGGCCCACCAAACCGACGAUGGAUAGGGGUUCUGGAGAGGAAGGUCCCCCANAUUGGUACUGAGACACGGACCAAACUCAUACGGGAGGCA